GANGAGAGAGUUAAAUAGUACGUGAAAUUGCUUAGAGGUAAACGAGUGNAGCUGAAGAUGUUGAAUGGGAUUCAGUUCGAGUGUGGAUUAGUACUGGUUUAAUGAUAUCUCUAUGGGAAUCACAAUUCCAGUUGACAUUCUACACUCAAUGCACUUUCCAUUCAGCAAAACUGCGAUCGAUAGCGUUAUCUUUCUGUCGUAACAAUGAAGGUGAGCAACUCUUCGGAGUUUCUUUUAUAUCUUGUUACACGGUUCGAUAAUUUAUCGGUGAAUACGAUUGUUCAACAUUACUGUCGGUUGAUAUAGGUUAUUUGAUGGUAGACUAUUUAUAGACUAUUGUUAGAUCGUCAAUGUCUGUCAGCAGUGAUAGUUCAAUCUAAAAUCAGCAGUCUAUAUGUAGGUUACCUACUCGUCCCGUCUUGAAACACGGACCAAGGAGUUUUAUAUUAUCGCGAGUCAAAGGGCUUUACGAAACCCCAGGGCGCAAUGAAAGUGAAGGUUUACUUUCGUAAACCGAGAUGUGACAAUGAAGAUGGCCGUUAAACGUCAUUGGACUUUGCAACAUCUACCCGUCUAAAUAUGUUCGCAUAUGGGCGGAGUUUGAGCGAUACUGUAGAGACCCGAAAGAUGGUGAACUAUGCUUGUGCAGGUUGAAGUCAGGGGAAACUCUGAUGGAGGACCGCAGCGGUUUUGACGUGCAAAUCAAUCGUCGGACAUGAGUAUAGGGGCGAAAGACUAAUCGAACCAUCUAGUAGCUGGUUCCCUCCGAAGUUUCCCUCAGGAUAGCUGGCGUUUGAUGUCGUAGUUUCACCUGGUAAAGCGAAUGAUUAGAAGUAUUGGGAGCGAAAUGUUCUCAACUUAUUCUCAAACUUUAAAUGGGUUCGAAGUGCGUCUCGCUUCAUUGGAGACGUACAUUGAAUACGAAUGCCUAGUGGGCCAUUUUUGGUAAGCAGAACUGGCGAUGUGGGAUGAACCAAACAUUUGGUUAAGGUGCCUAACACCACGCUCAUGAGAACCCACAAAAGGUGUUGGUUGAUAAAGACAGCAGGACGGUGGACAUGGAAGUCGUCAUCCGCUAAGGAGUGUGUAACAACUCACCUGCCGAAUCAACCAGCCCUGAAAAUGGAUGGCGCUGUAGCGUGGGACCUAUACCGAAUCGGUAUCGUAAGUGUGCUUUUCGGAGCAUCGAGUAAGCGGUACCGUGUAGGAGGGUGCCGUGGUUGCUACGAAGCUACUGGCGUGAGUCAGAGUGGAGCGGCCACGGGUACAGAUCUUGG
rnacentral:rRNA from 1 species